UAAGUCAGCGGUAAAAAUUCGGGGCUCAACCCCGGUACUGCAUUUGAAACUGUCCAGCUGGAGUGCAGGAGAGGUAAGCGGAAUUCCUAGUGUAGCGGUGAAAUGCGUAGAUAUUAGGAGGAACACCAGUGGCGAAGGCGGCUUACUGGACUGUAACUGACACUGAGGCACGAAAGCGUGGGGAGCAAACAG
rnacentral:rRNA from 1 species